UUUAAAAUCUAUUACUUGAACCUUUCCAUUCCACAAAAGGUUCUUUAUAACGGAAAAAGGUUAUUCAGACUAUUUAAAUAUUCUUCA